AACGAACGCUGGCGGCAUGCCUAACACAUGCAAGUCGAACGAAGUCUUCGGACUUAGUGGCGCACGGGUGCGUAACGCGUGGGAAUCUGCCCUUGGGUACGGAAUAACUCAGAGAAAUUUGUGCUAAUACCGUAUAAUGUCUUCGGACCAAAGAUCUAUCGCCCAAGGAUGAGCCCGCGUAAGAUUAGCUAGUUGGUGGGGUAAAAGCCUACCAAGGCGACGAUCUUUAGCUGGUCUGAGAGGAUGAUCAGCCACACUGGGACUGAGACACGGCCCAGACUCCUACGGGAGGCAGCAGUGGGGAAUAUUGGACAAUGGGCGAAAGCCUGAUCCAGCAAUGCCGCGUGAGUGAUGAAGGCCCUAGGGUUGUAAAGCUCUUUUACCAGGGAUGAUAAUGACAGUACCUGGAGAAUAAGCUCCGGCUAACUCCGUG
rnacentral:rRNA from 1 species